UACGGGGGGGGCAAGCGUUGUUCGGAAUUACUGGGCGUAAAGGGCUCGUAGGCGGCCAACUAAGUCGGACGUGAAAUCCCCAGGCUCAACCUGGGAACUGCGUCCGAUACUGGAUGGCUUGAAUCCGGGAGAGGUGAGUGGAACUGCGAGUGUAGAGGUGAAAUUCGUAGAUAUUCGCAAGAACACCAGUGGCGAAGGCGGCUCACUGGCCCGGUACUGACGCUGAGGCACGAAAGCGUGGGGAGCAAACAGG
rnacentral:rRNA from 1 species